rnacentral:tRNA from 1 species
GGGGUUAUAGCUCAGUUGGGAGAGCGAUUCCAUGGCAUGGAAUAGGUCAGCGGUUCGAACCCGCUUAACUCCACCA